CCUCACAUUAUACUUCAACAACAUGUCUGCCUAAACAAGCUCUGAAGAAGGACAACACCAAUAGAAAUGUUAAUGCGGAUAGGAGACUCUCAAGGGGACCCACUAAAGGACAAAAACUACAGGCAACUAAGAAACUGAAAGAAAUUUCAACAAAGCAAUUCCAAUAUAAAUAUACUAUAGUCCUAUAGGCCCACAAGAGACUGAACUGUUGUCCACAAUAUACUGAGCCCAGUAGGAGAGGGAGUCAAGAUGCUUCAUUUUUACUUGAACCAAUACUACCUAAAGGUGAAAGAUGACAAGACAUGAGUAAAUUGCUAAAGACCCAGAAAGACCAGAAAGACAGCAUCAGGACCUCCUACAUGACUACUAGAUGCAGAAACCAAGAACCAAAUGAUUACGACAGAUUGCAGACAACUGGGACAGAAACGAGUUGUUCACUUAGAGGCACUACAAUUAGCGUGCCCAAGAGACCACGAAGUAACCGAGAAUGAGAGUAAUACCUAUUCAAGUCUCUUGAAACUCAAUAAUGGGAACUAACUGAAAGAAGAAUUCUUACAUCUUGAAUUGGAAAUGAGAAUAAGUUUGUUAUUGGUAAAGAGAAGAAAGAAUAUAUAUGGUUCACGAACAGAAUAUAACUAGAAAUCCUGUGUGAGUAGAAGUGUUGAUGCACAUCUAAGAUCAGAAAAACAGCAUCAGCACUGUGCUGUUUCAAAACGUAUUGUUUUGAGAAAGAAAAUGCUCUAAUAGAUUUUUAAUGUGAUUUCAUUUAUACUAUAAAACAGUAUAU
rnacentral:sRNA from 1 species